CAAAUUAAAGUUUUUAUAAUAUUUCAUUUACAUUGAAAAGAAAUUGAUUUAUUCAUUUAAUUUGA
rnacentral:tRNA from 1 species